rnacentral:rRNA from 1 species
AUUGAACGCUGGCGGCAGGCCUAACACAUGCAAGUCGAGCGGAUGAGUGGAGCUUGCUCCAUGAUUCAGCGGCGGACGGGUGAGUAAUGCCUAGGAAUCUGCCUGGUAGUGGGGGACAACGUUUCGAAAGGAACGCUAAUACCGCAUACGUCCUACGGGAGAAAGUGGGGGAUCUUCGGACCUCACGCUAUAAGAUGCGCCUAGGUCGGAUUAGCUAGUUGGUGAGGUAAAGGCUCACCAAGGCGACGAUCCGUAACUGGUUUGAGAGGAUGAUCAGUCACACUGGAACUGGGACACGGUCCAGACUCCUACGGGAGGCAGCAGUGGGGAAUAUUGGACAAUGGGCGAAAGCCUGAUCCAGCCAUGCUGCGUGUGUGAAGAAGGUCUUCGGAUUGUAAAGCACUUUAAGUUGGGAGGAAGGGCAGUAAGUUAAUACCUUGCUGUUUUGACGUUACCAACAGAAUAAGCACCGGCUAACUUCGUGCCAGCCGCCGCGGUAACAC